GCGCCCUUAGCUCAAUUGGAUAGAGCGUCUGGCUACGGACCAGAAGGUUGGGGGUUCGACUCCUCCAGGGCGUA
rnacentral:tRNA from 2 species